UACGGGGGGGGGCAAGCGUUGUUCGGAAUUACUGGGCGUAAAGGGCUCGUAGGUGGCCAACUAAGUCAGACGUGAAAUCCCUCGGCUUAACCGGGGAACUGCGUCUGAUACUGGGAGGCUUGAAUCCGGGAGAGGGAUGUGGAAUUCCAGGUGUAGCGGUGAAAUGCGUAGAUAUCUGGAGGAACACCGGUGGCGAAGGCGGCAUCCUGGACCGGUAUUGACGCUGAGGCGCGAAAGCCAGGGGAGCAAACGGG
rnacentral:rRNA from 1 species